rfam:Candidatus Raymondbacteria bacterium RIFOXYD12_FTLL_49_13 rifoxyd3_full_scaffold_2999, whole genome shotgun sequence.
GUAAGCCGUAUGAGGGAAAACUUCACGUACGGUUUGAUGUGGCGGGAGUUGGCACGGACUCGAA